UAGAGUUUGAUCCUGGCUCAGAUUGAACGCUGGCGGCAGGCUUAACACAUGCAAGUCGAGCGGGGGAUGUUGCUUCGGUAACUGACCUAGCGGCGGACGGGUGAGUAAUGCUUAGGAAUCUGCCUAUUAGUGGGGGACAACAUUCCGAAAGGAAUGCUAAUACCGCAUACGCCCUACGGGGGAAAGCAGGGGAUCUUCGGACCUUGCGCUAAUAGAUGAGCCUAAGUCAGAUUAGCUAGUUGGUGGGGUAAAGGCCUACCAAGGCGACGAUCUGUAGCGGGUCUGAGAGGAUGAUCCGCCACACUGGGACUGAGACACGGCCCAGACUCCUACGGGAGGCAGCAGUGGGGAAUAUUGGACAAUGGGCGGAAGCCUGAUCCAGCCAUGCCGCGUGUGUGAAGAAGGCCUUUUGGUUGUAAAGCACUUUAAGCGAGGAGGAGGCUACCGAGACUAAUACUCUUGGAUAGUGGACGUUACUCGCAGAAUAAGCACCGGCUAACUCUGUGCCAGCAGCCGCGGUAAUACAGAGGGUGCGAGCGUUAAUCGGAUUUACUGGGCGUAAAGCGUGCGUAGGCGGCUUUUUAAGUCGGAUGUGAAAUCCCUGAGCUUAACUUAGGAAUUGCAUUCGAUACUGGGAAGCUAGAGUAUGGGAGAGGAUGGUAGAAUUCCAGGUGUAGCGGUGAAAUGCGUAGAGAUCUGGAGGAAUACCGAUGGCGAAGGCAGCCAUCUGGCCUAAUACUGACGCUGAGGUACGAAAGCAUGGGGAGCAAACAGGAUUAGAUACCCUGGUAGUCCAUGCCGUAAACGAUGUCUACUAGCCGUUGGGGCCUUUGAGGCUUUAGUGGCGCAGCUAACGCGAUAAGUAGACCGCCUG
rnacentral:rRNA from 1 species